GCAGGAAACAAAAAUAAGAUUUUUUCACUUUUUCUGUUAUCAGUUAUUAUAUAACAUACAUUAUCCGACAAAUCCACCUCACCCCGAUGGUUUCAAAAAAAUAUAAAUAACAUAUAUCAUACUAAUAUGAUUUUAAAAAAAUAAAAAAAAUAAUAAAUCAAAAAACAGAAAAUCAUAACGAUACCAAACGUAUAAUGAAAAAGCUAAUUAAUGAAGACUUACGUAAAAACUUAGCUAAUAAAAAAUCUUAAAAGCUGUUAAUUAAAAACCAAACUAAAGAACAAAGAAUAAAAUAAAAAGUCAACUCAAACUUAAACUCCUCAUAAAAAGCAUAUCUAAAUCCUUAAAAAAGGCCACUAAGCUUCCCUCCCGAUACAUGAGAUAUUGGGAUCGAUUCUCACCCUCGCCCUUGUGGCUCUCUAAACACCAAAUAUAUAUAUGGAAGGGAUAAGAAUACUAGUUAUAUAAGAACCAAUUUAAACUGUAGGAUUAGAUUGGGAUGAGUGGUCAGAAUUAAAACAAAAUAAAAACCAUCUUUCCUCAAAAAAAAAAAAAAAAAAAAAUAAAAAUAAAAACAACCCUAACUUUCUCUCACUUCGAUUAUCGUAGUAGUUCAUGUCUUUGAAGGUUUUCAACAUUUUUCCUUCAUUUUUUUUGCAUAAAUUCAACAUCAAGCUAAGGAUCAUAAAACAAGUCAAAUUGUUCAAUAAAAGUACAAAUUUUGGCGAUAAAGCCCUAGAUUUCGCAAUUUUCAAAUUCAGGUUCUAAAAUUUAGCGAGUUAAAUUGCAAUUUCUUGUAUGAUCCAACAAUGGCGAAGAUUAGGGAUGGGACUGAAGAUUUCAAAGACGCUGUUCGCCGUGAAGCCAUUUCUUUGGAGUACAAUGGUCAAAAAUUGCUGCUAUAAUGACAUCAUUCAUCAUACACAAGCCUCGCGAAAGGACGUCAUUCAUGAAAUCUUCUUUGAUGACACUUGAGAGCAUUGGGGAUUUGGAAAAAUAUUUGAUGAAACACAAGCGUGAUUAUGUUGAUAUGCAUCGGACUACUGAACAGGAGAGAUAGCAUUGAACAGGAAUUUCUUGUCAUAUUUGUAUUGCUGGAGAUCAUCUUUGGUACUUGAGCAAGACGCAUAUCCAGGGGUCUUGCUGCAAACUGAAUCUUAUGUUCUACCUGCAAAUUGAAUUUGCUGAGCAAAGGAUUAACCAAGGAAAUACUCCAUGAUAAAAAAUUUGUUACCAAACUUCUUUUGCAUUCAAGACUUUAUACACACAACAAACAAAGCAACAAAUGCUUUGACUCAGACAAAUGGGAUGUGAUUUAAAGUUAUGUUAUAUAAUGGAACUAUACCCAAGGGGAUAUAAGUGAUUUGAUUUGUUUCAGUUAUCUACCAGUAUGCAAGUGUUUGUAUGUCCAAUUUUGUUACUUGUGAUUUUCGGAUUAUUAUCCCAAAGUCAUGUUGUGUGUUUA